CCAGCGUGCUGCCAGGCUGCCGGGUCCCUGCUCUGGGUACUUCUCUGCUUUCGGGCGUCUCGUCUAGAAGCUGCAGCCUGGCCUGUCUCACCUCUACACAGAGGGGCCGCUGGGGCCUGACGGAAAAAGGACGCGCCUGAUGGCCGGCCCGGGGUGGACGCUGCUGCUGCUGCUGCUGCCGCUGCUGGGGGCCAUGGCAGGGCAUGGGCCGCAUAAGAAGAAGUUGAACGUGUCCCAUAAGGUGGGUGCCGGGCGCCCCUGAGGCCCCUGCAGGCCCCACACACGCCAUAAGGUGGGUGCUGGGCGCCCCUGAGGCCCCUGCAGGCCCCACCUGCGGGGGCUGCCACUUUCUGUCAGGAGGCUCUCAAAGGGACACAAAGUGCCUUCCUGGAUGAAACCCUCCCUGAGGCCACUGGCUCUCCUGGCCGCACGCCCAGCUGUGCUGCCCAAGCACACUUGAGGCUAUGGGACGGCAACCCCAGCACCAGGAGCAGCCCUGGACCGCGGUCACCGUACACCAGGCAGGAAAAAGCGGGGCCACGUGGGAGCUGCACCAGUGCGCACUUUU
rnacentral:sRNA from 1 species